rnacentral:rRNA from 1 species
UCCCAAAAUAUAUGUUAAGUGGAAAAGGAUGUGGCGUUGCCCAGACAACUAGGAUGUUGGCUUAGAAGCAGCCAUCAUUUAAAGAGUGCGUAAUAGCUCACUAGUCGAGUGACACUGCGCCGAAAAUGUACCGGGGCUAAACAUAUUACCGAAGCUGUGGAUUGUCCUUUGGACAAUGGUAGGAGAGCGUUCUAAGGGCGUUGAAGCAUGAUCGUAAGGACAUGUGGAGCGCUUAGAAGUGAGAAUGCCGGUGUGAGUAGCGAAAGACGGGUGAGAAUCCCGUCCACCGAUUGACUAAGGUUUCCAGAGGAAGGCUCGUCCGCUCUGGGUUAGUCGGGUCCUAAGCUGAGGCCGACAGGCGUAGGCGAUGGAUAACAGGUUGAUAUUCCUGUACCACCUAUAAUCGUUUUAAUCGAUGGGGGGACGCAGUAGGAUAGGCGAAGCGUGCGAUUGGAUUGCACGUCUAAGCAGUAAGGCUGAGUAUUAGGCAAAUCCGGUACUCGUUAAGGCUGAGC